rnacentral:rRNA from 1 species
ACUUACUGGAUUUUGUUAACCAAUGUCACCAUAAUAAAAAAUAGUACAGAAGCUAAGCAGGGUCUGACCUGUUUAGUACUUGGAUGGGAAAUCACCUAUGAAUACCAGGUGCUGUAGGUG